rnacentral:rRNA from 1 species
GAUGAACGCUGGCGGCGUGCCUAAUACAUGCAAGUCGAGCGAAUGGAUUAAGAGCUUGCUCUUAUGAAGUUAGCUGCGGACGGGUGAGUAACACGUGGGUAACCUGCCCAUAAGACUGGGAUAACUCCGGGAAACCGGGGCUAAUACCGGAUAACAUUUUGAACCGCAUGGUUCGAAAUUGAAAGGCGGCUUCGGCUGGCACUUAUGGAUGGACCCGCGUCGCAUUAGCUAGUUGGUGAGGUAACGGCUCACCAAGGCAACGAUGCGUAGCCGACCUGAGAGGGUGAUCGGCCACACUGGGACUGAGACACGGCCCAGACUCCUACGGGAGGCAGCAGUAGGGAAUCUUCCGCAAUGGACGAAAGUCUGACGGAGCAACGCCGCGUGAGUGAUGAAGGCUUUCGGGUCGUAAAACUCUGUUGUUAGGGAGGAACAAGUGCUAGUUGAAUAAGCUGGCACCUUGACGGUACCUAACCAGAAAGCCACGGCUAACUACGUGCCAGCAGCCGCGGUAA